rnacentral:lncRNA from 1 species
GAAGAACCACCAGAUCCCGCACAGAGUGAGUGGUGGAUAUAUUUCUAGUUCUUCGCCACAAGUUCUUCAAACUCCGUACAAUUUGACCAAAGACAUUGUAUUCAGUAACCCAAGACCAUUUAACACGUGGGCUACCCAAUGAGGGCUGAGUGGCAUAGAUCACAUUCACCUUGUUCGAAUGUGGGCGGCACCAAGGACUGCCCCGUGCGGGUUCUCCGGUCCAGACCCUGACCAUUUUGUGUCUAGCUUACCAGCAGUGAGGGAGAUAGCCACGUGAAGCCUGCAUGGUUUCUGUUCAAUCUUGUUCAACCUUCCUGUGACAAUGGAGUCUGGCGGUGAGCAUGUUUCGGGUUUACAUGGGGCAAAGUGACACACUCAAUAUUGCUUGUUUUUUUCUGUUGGUGUUAUUUUAUCAUCAUGCGGCACACAGAGCAAAAACAAAGCACAUAGGGAAGAUGUGUUUUUGUUUGGAUUAUUAUAGUUGAUCUUAUUAAUUAUUGUAUGAUUAUAUAUUAAUUGCCUGCCCUAAAUGGGAAAGACAUGGGA